UCUCAGUGAUGAAAACUUUGUCCAGUUCUGCUACUGACUCUGAGUGACGAGACGAUAAUAUCUGAAGAGA